CCUACGGGAGGCAGCAGUGAGGAAUAUUGGUCAAUGGCCGAGAGGCUGAACCAGCCAAGUCGCGUGAGGGAAGACGGCCCUACGGGUUGUAAACCUCUUUUGUCGGGGAGCAAAGCGAACCACGUGUGGUUCAUUGAGAGUACCUGAAGAAAAAGCAUCGGCUAACUCCGUGCCAGCAGCCGCGGUAAUACGGAGGAUGCGAGCGUUAUCCGGAUUUAUUGGGUUUAAAGGGUGCGCAGGCGGGCUGUUAAGUCAGCUGUGAAAGUCCGGGGCUCAACCGUGGAAUUGCAGUUGAAACUGGAGGCCUUGAGUGCACGAAGGGUAGCCGGAAUGCGUGGUGUAGCGGUGAAAUGCAUAGAUAUCAUGAAGAACUCCGAGCGCGAAGGCAGGUGGCCGGGGUGCAACUGACGCUGAGGCUCGAAAGUGCGGGUAUCAAACAGGAUUAGAUACCCUUGUAGUC
rnacentral:rRNA from 1 species